rnacentral:rRNA from 1 species
UACGUAGGGUGCGAGCGUUGUCCGGAAUUAUUGGGCGUAAAGAGCUCGUAGGCGGUUUGUCGCGUCGGCCGUGAAAACUUGGGGCUUAACCCCAAGCCUGCGGUCGAUACGGGCAGACUUGAGUUCGGCAGGGGAGACUGGAAUUCCUGGUGUAGCGGUGAAAUGCGCAGAUAUCAGGAGGAACACCGAUGGCGAAGGCAGGUCUCUGGGCCAUAACUGACGCUGAGAAGCGAAAGCAUGGGGAGCGAACAGG